CGGAAGGGUGCAAGCGUUACUCGGAAUUACUGGGCGUAAAGCGUGCGUAGGUGGUUCGUUAAGUCUGCCGGUGAAAGCCCCGGGCUCAACCUAGGAAUGGCGGUGGAUACUGGCGGACUAGAGUGCGGUAGAGGGUGGUGGAAUUCCCGGUGUAGCAGUGAAAUGCGUAGAGAUCGGGAGGAACAUCUGUGGCGAAGGCGGCCACCUGGACCAGCACUGACACUGAGGCAUGAAAAGCGUGGGGAGCAAACAGGAUUAGAUACCCUGGUAGUCCACGCCCUAAACGAUGCGAACUGGACGUUGGGAGGUCAACUAGGCUCUCAGUGUCGAAGCUAACGCGUUAAGUUCGCCGCCUGGGGAGUACGGUCGCAAGACUG
rnacentral:rRNA from 1 species